GAUGGAUGGAUGGAUGACUAGAUAGAUAGAUAGAUAGAUAGAUAGAUAGAUAGAUAGAUAGAUAGAUAGAUAGAUAGAUAGGAUGAAUAUCUGGCAUACUAUGCCCUUUGUCAGAUUGCUUUCUAUAAGGUAAACAUAACAUAUUUGCAAUGUAACAUUGGCAGGAAGUAUAGCCUGACCUUCACAUUGACAGGUUUCACUUUUUAAAAUUUGAUUCAUAUAGUAUUUUUAGUUCCUUUAGUGUAACUCCAUGGUCAACUUCCAUUUCAAGCUGGAGGACAUAAAAAUUCCUAAAGCAGUGGUUCUCAAAAUGAGGGGCUCCAUGCUUUCCUCUUCUUCCUCCUCCUCCCCUGCUCUAGUCCAGCCUGAUCAUUGCACGUGUGAACACCCCAACCCUGCCAGCUUGCUUGCUUGACUUUGCAUAAAGGAUUGUCCCUCCGUGAUCACCAUGUGGUCCUAGCACCACCUUCUUUCCUUCUCUCUCUCUCCCUAUUAUUUCCCACACUGCAGUGUCCCUCCUCCUCUUUUCCCCCAACUUUCCCUCCUGCUUCCUGCUCCUCUCCCCUCCCUUGCUGACAAAAACCUUUUUCCCUCUCCCCCCUUGCCACCAAAAGCCUUUUUUUCAUCUUCCUCACCACCCAGAUCCUUUCCUCCUCACUUUCCCUGCUUCCAAAACUCCAUUUCCCUCCCACUGCUCAGGGGGUGCUUUGGCAGAAGGCGAUUGGACUGGAAGGCCCCUGGGAGUUUCUAUCAUCAUCAUCAUCACCAUCAUCAUCAUCACAAAGGCUGGGUGGCUAUGUGUUGGAGGUGCUUUGAUUGUGCUUUUCCUGCAUGGCAGAAGGGAGUUGGACUGGAUGGUCUCUGGAGUCUUCCACUGAAAAACUGUUAAGUUCAUGCAAAGAAAAACCAAAACAAUCACCUUGCAGGGGCAAGGGAGAAGAGAAAGAGAGAAGAAUAAUCAUACCCACUGAUUUCGUGUUGGCACAGAGGCAGAAGGGACCUAUCAUACUAAGGUCUCAUAAGCCAGGCCCCAAAGAACAUGAGAACGGUGGAAGAAUUUUUUGUCCCUCCCAGCUGUACCCCAGCAGAAUAACAAGAUGGGUUCCUCUAUAUGGUCCUGAGAAGGGAACCCUCCAGACAGUUUCUCUCAAAAGCCCAGUGAAUCAAGUUCCAUCAUGCAAAAUGCCUCUUGUUCUCCAGUCCCUGUUCAUCCAUGCAGACAAUACAGCAGGUGGGAAGUAAUGGAAAAGCAGCAAAGUGCUCCAAGAUUGACAGCUGCGCAAGCAACAAUAUCCCCUCUCAUCCAUGGGUAAUGGAGCCUAAGAAAGAUCUACAGUAUUAGGAAGGAUAUAAAGCAAGAGUUUCUUCAUGUGGAUAUCAUCCUGCUCUCACUUAUUCUGGUCUUUGCUAUCAAGUAAUCAAUAGUUCCACAGUCUCUCAAAAAAAAAAGGGCAGUGAGAGAAGUAACUGAACCAAAAGAUCUUACAUCUUAAAUCAGUUUUAAACAGAUAUAACCAAUAUCUGGUUGAAGCUUGGCUGCCUUCUAUUAAAGCAAUUACUGUACCUAUUGCUUCUUAGGCUACAUGCAUUACCUUUUUAUGUGUGUGACAGAAAGCUUGUUUGGGGAGUUGUAAAUCCUGAAGUUCAACUUAAUCAAAGUCAUAGAGACUCAUUUUUUACAUACAUUUAAUCAUUGCAAAUUAUUUACAGGCAAAUCCAUUCCUAGUGAGGAACUCUACCUUCCUAGGUCUGAGGUUGAAUUCCCACACACCUUCCUAGCUCACAGUUUAGUUUCUACAAUAAUGCACAUUGCCAUUCAAUUUGAACAGAGGAUCCUUGAAGAGUUUAAGGUCAGAUCAGCCUGGUUCUGACCUGAACCAUACAUCCCAGACAAAUCAGAAUGUCUUUGUGUUGGAUUUCUGGUCAUAAAGUUAUUGGCUCAAUAAAUGAAAUAAACAAACAUACAAAAUA